rnacentral:rRNA from 1 species
ACUCCUACGGGAGGCAGCAGUGAGGAAUAUUGCACAAUGGGGGAAACCCUGAUGCAGCAACGCCGCGUGGAGGAUGACGCAUUUCGGUGUGUAAACUCCUUUUAUAUGUCAAGAAAAUGACGGUAGCAUAUGAAUAAGCACCGGCUAACUCC